AAAUUGAAGAGUUUGAUCAUGGCUCAGAUUGAACGCUGGCGGCAGGCCUAACACAUGCAAGUCGAACGGUAACAGGAAGCAGCUUGCUGCUUCGCUGACGAGUGGCGGACGGGUGAGUAAUGUCUGGGAAACUGCCUGAUGGAGGGGGAUAACUACUGGAAACGGUGGCUAAUACCGCAUAACGUCGCAAGACCAAAGAGGGGGACCUUCGGGCCUCUUGCCAUCAGAUGUGCCCAGAUGGGAUUAGCUAGUUGGUGAGGUAACGGCUCACCAAGGCGACGAUCCCUAGCUGGUCUGAGAGGAUGACCAGCCACACUGGAACUGAGACACGGUCCAGACUCCUACGGGAGGCAGCAGUGGGGAAUAUUGCACAAUGGGCGCAAGCCUGAUGCAGCCAUGCCGCGUGUAUGAAGAAGGCCUUCGGGUUGUAAAGUACUUUCAGCGGGGAGGAAGGUGUUGUGGUUAAUAACCGCAGCAAUUGACGUUACCCGCAGAAGAAGCACCGGCUAACUCCGUGCCAGCAGCCGCGGUAAUACGGAGGGUGCAAGCGUUAAUCGGAAUUACUGGGCGUAAAGCGCACGCAGGCGGUCUGUCAAGUCGGAUGUGAAAUCCCCGGGCUCAACCUGGGAAC
rnacentral:rRNA from 1 species